rnacentral:tRNA from 1 species
GCGUUUGUAGCUCAACUGGAUAGAGCGUCGGACUUCGGAUCCGAAGGUUGUGGGUUCGAAUCCCGCCAAGCGCGCCA